rnacentral:rRNA from 1 species
UAAGAAGGGGGCUAGCGUUGCUCGGAAUCACUGGGCGUAAAGGGUGCGUAGGCGGGUCUUUAAGUCAGGGGUGAAAUCCUGGAGCUCAACUCCAGAACUGCCUUUGAUACUGAAGAUCUUGAGUUCGGGAGAGGUGAGUGGAACUGCGAGUGUAGAGGUGAAAUUCGUAGAUAUCUGGAGGAACACCAGUGGCGAAGGCGGCAUCCUGGACUGGUAUUGACGCUGAGGUGCGAAAGCGUGGGGAGCAAACAGG